rnacentral:rRNA from 1 species
AGCGAACGUUAGCGGCGCGCCUAACACAUGCAAGUCGCACGAAGAAAGGGAGCAAUCCCCGGUACAGUGGCGCACGGGUGAGUAACACGUAGAUGACCUUCCCUGGAGUGGUGGAUAACCUGCCGAAAGGCGGGCUAAUACAGCAUGGGACCACAUGGUUUUGACCGAGUGGUGAAAGCGGGCCUCUGUUCACAAGCUCGCGCUCUGGGAUGGGUCUGCGUCCCAUCAGCUAGUUGGUGAGGUAAUGGCUCACCAAGGCAUCGACGGGUAGCUGGUCUGAGAGGAUGACCAGCCACACUGGAACUGAGACACGGUCCAGACUCCUACGGGAGGCAGCAGUGGGGAAUCUUGCGCAAUGGGCGAAAGCCUGACGCAGCGACGCCGCGUGGGUGAUGAAGGCCUCGGUUGUAAGACCUCGU